UACGUAGGGUGCGAGCGUUAAUCGGAAUUACUGGGCGUAAAGUGUGCGCAGGCGGCCGCGCAAGUCGAGUGUGAAAGCCCCGGGCUUAACUUGGGAAUUGCGCUCGAAACUACGUGGCUGGAGUGUGGCAGAGGAAGGUGGAAUUCCAGGUGUAGCGGUGAAAUGCGUAGAGAUCUGGAGGAACACCGAUGGCGAAGGCGGCUCUCUGGUACGUGACUGACGCUGAGACGCGAAAGCGUGGGGAGCAAACAGG
rnacentral:rRNA from 1 species